AAGGCAUCUACACCCCUAUAUAUACUUCGUGUAUGUAUAUACAACAAGCAAAUCAAUACUUUGGCAAUUUUGAGAUUUUUUUUCUUAAUUCAUACAAAAUAAAAUGGCUAAUGAUGAGGUGAUUCUGUUGGAUUUUUGGCCUAGCAUGUAUGGUAUGAGGCUAAGGAUUGCACUUGCUGAGAAAGAGAUUAAAUAUGAGUACAGAGACGAGGAUUUGAGGAACAAAAGUCCUCUGCUUUUGCAGAUGAAUCCUAUUCACAAGAAAAUCCCUGUUUUGAUUCAUAAUGGCAAACCAAUUUGUGAGUCUAUCAUUGGAGUUGAGUAUAUUGAUGAAGUGUGGAAGGAUAAAGCCCCUUUGCUCCCUUCUGAUCCUUAUGAGAGAGCACAAGCUAGGUUUUGGGCUGAUUACAUUGACAAGAAGUUAUAUGCUACAGGAAGCAAGAUUUAUACAGCAACGGGAGACGAACAAGAGGCAGGUAAGAAAGAUUUCGUAGAAAUCCUUAAAGUGUUGGAGGGAGCACUUGGAGAGAAGCCUUAUUAUGGAGGAGAUAACUUUGGUUUUGGGGAUAUUGCUCUCAUUGGGUUCUACUGCUGGUUUCAUGCUUAUGAGGUUUAUGGUAACUUCAGCAUUGAGGCUGAGUGCCCAAACCUUGUGGCUUGGGCCAAGAGGUGCAUGCAAAGGGACAGUGUGGCUAAAACUUUGCCUGACCAACAUAAGAUCAUUGAGUUUGUAAAAAUUCUUAGGGAAAAGCUUGGACUUGAAUAAAUAAACAUAUGCAUAUCAUAGUAGUAUUGAAGAAAGGCACUUCAUUCUGCCUUUAUCUUGUGUUGUUUCAAGAUUUGAAAUGUUUGUUUGGUUAUAGUGUAAGUUCUAUUUCUAAUAGUAAUAAAGGAAAAGCUUGGACUUGAAUAAAUAAACAUAUGCAUAUCAUAGUAGUAUUGAAGAAAGGCACUUCAUUCUGCCUUUAUCUUGUGUUGUUUCAAGAUUUGAAAUGUUUGUUUGGUUAUAGUGUAAGUUCUAUUUCUAAU
rnacentral:misc_RNA from 1 species